rnacentral:rRNA from 1 species
UAGGGAAUCUUCCGCAAUGGACGCAAGUCUGACGGAGCAACGCCGCGUGAGUGAAGAAGGAUUUCGGUUCGUAAAACUCUGUUGUUAGAGAAGAACAGCGCAUAGAGUAACUGUUAUGCGUGUGACGGUAUCUAACCAGAAAGCCACGGCUAACUACGUGCCAGCAGCCGCGGUAACACGUAGGUGGCAAGCGUUGUCCGGAUUUAUUGGGCGUAAAGCGAGCGCAGGCGGUCAAUUAAGUCUGAUGUGGAAGCCCCCGGCUCAACCGGGGAGGGUCAUUGUAAACUGGUUAACUUGAGUGAAGAAGAGUAGAGUGGGAUUCCAUGUGUAGCGGUGAAAUGCGUAGAUAUAUGAAGGAACGCCAGUGGCGAGGGCGAAUCUCUGGUCUGUAACUGACGCAGAGGUUCGAAAGCGUGGGUAGCGAACAGG